CCCAUAAUGCUCCGGUCCCUAAUUUAUUAGUGGGUACUGGAAUCGACGGAGCUGCUCGGUGGAGGGGGAGCCGGGAAUCGGGAUACCCUCGAGGCCUAAUGUUCUGAAGUCUCAAUCCAUCGAUCCCGUUCUCCCCCGGGUUGGAAUUCAAGAAACCCUCGGCCUCGGGGGAGGAUUCAAGUAAUCCUCGAGCUCCGAUCGCAUGGCCUCCGAUCCUCCUCUCAACCGGACUCUCGUCCCUCUCCUAACGUCUCCAGGUGGCUCCCUUUCAGAUGAUGAUGCCCAAUUCUUAUUAGUUCCUAUCCAUAUCGUCACCCAUGCUUCUCAACUUCCAGCUGAAUUUCUGUAUCCCUCAGUCGAUAGGCAACUGAUCAUUGGAUUUGAUUGUGAGGGUGUUGACCUUUGUCGAAAUGGAGCUCUUUGUGUAAUGCAGCUUGCUUUCCCAGAUGCCGUAUACUUGGUUGAUGCUGUUGAGGGUGGGAAGGCACUGAUGCAAGCUUGUAAGCCUGCACUUGAGUCUAGUUACAUCACAAAAGUUAUUCAUGAUUGCAAACGGGACAGUGAGGCUUUAUAUUUUCAAUUUGGCAUCAAACUGCACAAUGUUGUGGAUACCCAGAUUGCCUAUUCUCUGAUCGAGGAGCAAGAAGGAAGGAAGCGAUCACCUGAUGACUAUAUAUCUUUUGUUGGCCUUCUUGCUGAUCCUCGUUAUGGUGGAAAAUCAUACCUGGAAAAGGAAGAAGUGCGUGUUCUUCUAAGGCAGGACCCUGCAUAUUGGACAUACAGACCAAUGUCUGAAAUGAUGAUCCGUGCUGCUGCUGAUGAUGUCCGCUUUCUCCUCUACAUCUAUCACAAAAUGAUGGAGAAGUUGAACAAAAGAUCCCUAUGGCAUCUUGCAGUCCGUGGCUCACUGUACUGUAGAUGUUUCUGCAUCAAUGAUAAUGACUUUGCUGAUUGGCCUCGUCUUCCCACUCUUCCAGAUAUCCUAGCUGCUGAAGGUUAUGUCCCUGAAGAAGAGAUACUCUCCGUGCUAAAUGUUCCUCCAGGGAAAAUGGGACGAGUUAUUGGGAAAAAAGGUGCCUCUAUUCGAUCAGUAAAAGAAUGUUGCAAGUAAGCUGAUUAUGCAUUGCAGAGAUUCUCAUUGGUGGUGCUAAGGGUCCUCCUGACAAGGUUUUCAUCAUUGGGCCUGUGAUGGAGGUGAGGAAGGCUGAAGCUAUUCUUCGUGGGCGGAUGAUAGACCUGUAGCGAAUCCACUCUCUGUGAAAGCUCCAGAUAUCGUCUUUUACACCGCUGAUACAGGAUUUGACGUUGUGGUUCUCCUGACAUGCCUUGUAUGCUGUAUUUCUCUAAAUGCUGCAGUCAUGGUGCCAGUUACCUUCCAAUAUGUCAGCUGUGGUCUGUCAUCUGACACUGUUCCCUACUGUUGUAUAAAAGAAUGGCAGCUCCGUUCCAGAACCUAGUUCACACUUUAUAAGAUGAAACUAGGUUGUGGUAUAUGAAAUGGAGGUAUAACAGGUUUGCCAUUGCUGUUGACAAUCUUUGUAAUCCAUGAUUGGAUGGAUCGCUACAGUGGAUGGUCCAAUUUUGGAUCAUGUCAAAAGAAAAAUAGACAACUUAGCAUUGUGCUCCAAAGCGUAGGUUAUUUAUCUAUAUUGUGGUACAAAAAAAUAUAUAUUGCAGUGCUAUGAACUA